GACGAACGCUGGCGGCGUGCCUAAUACAUGCAAGUUGAGCGAUGAAGAUUGGUGCUUGCACCAAUUUGAAGAGCAGCGAACGGGUGAGUAACGCGUGGGGAAUCUGCCUUUGAGCGGGGGACAACAUUUGGAAACGAAUGCUAAUACCGCACAACAACUUUAAACAUAAGUUUUAAGUUUGAAAGAUGCAAUUGCAUCACUCAAAGAUGAUCCCGCGUUGUAUUAGCUAGUUGGUGAGGUAAAGGCUCACCAAGGCGAUGAUACAUAGCCGACCUGAGAGGGUGAUCGGCCACAUUGGGACUGAGACACGGCCCAAACUCCUACGGGAGGCAGCAGUAGGGAAUCUUCGGCAAUGGACGAAAGUCUGACCGAGCAACGCCGCGUGAGUGAAGAAGGUUUUCGGAUCGUAAAACUCUGUUGGUAGAGAAGAACGUUGGUGAGAGUGGAAAGCUCACCAAGUGACGGUAACUACCCAGAAAGGGACGGCUAACUACGUG
rnacentral:rRNA from 1 species